rnacentral:sRNA from 1 species
AGUCGGCCAAAUUGUUUUGGAGGAAGUAUACAGUGAAGUGGAACAGCGAUAAAGACAUGUAGCUGAAUAAACAAUGGAUUGGUUUGAAGUGGGGAACACAUGUUACUUCGGAUAAAAUGAGACCCAGCCUUUGUGUAUCAGGACCAGUUAUAAAGACUAUUAUGUUGAACACCUACAUGUUUAUCAGACAUGGAAUAUUCAAGAGAUACUGACUGGAUGUGUUGGAAGGAUUUAUUGGCAACAACUUUCGUGAAAACAUAUCAGCGCGUCAGGGUGGAUAUUUUUCGAGGAAUUUGAAUAGGAAGACAAUAUAAGUUUAUAUAGGCAUCUAGCGUUACUCUCGAGAGAUCUUAUUCUAUACGCUAUAUAUUUUCCCGAGUGUCGCAAAAAAGUACGAUUGUGAAAGCUUGGCGUGUAGGUCUUUAAAUCCUUACAGGAACCAAUGUACCCGAAAUGCCAGAAAUUACAUAAAGGCUUCCUAGCUAAAUUUUGAUUAAUAAUGCGACCAUCCCUCCAAAUUAUCAUUAAACAGAAUAUGUAGCUUUUUAGCGAUUGAAGAAAAUAAAGAAAUACUACACUUAUUCAAAGUAUAGUUAAAGCAUUCCAAAACAGUCUUUGAUAAGACGACCAGUGUAAAUAAGUUGACUGUCCGCAUAGUCAUGAGACUGCAUGAAAGAAUUGCAGCAAAGUCAUUUUUUGUUUAUUUUUAAUGCUUCGACUUUGUAAAGAUGUCGUCUUGUGUUGGGGGAAAUUUACCCCCAAAGAAUUGCAACACACACAUUUUUUUGUUUAUUAUUGUCCUAAAAUUUGUAAAGAUGUCGUCUUAUAUUGGGGGAAAUUUACCCCAAAAGCAAUUACAACACAAUCAUUCUCUGUUUGUUUUUAUCGCUUCGACUUUCUAAAGAUGUCGUCUUGUGUUGGAGGAAAUUUACUCCAAAGAAUUGUAAGACAGAAACUUUUUUAAGGCUUUGACUUUGUAAAGAUGCGUCUUGUGUUGGAGGAAAUUUACUCCAAAGAAUUAUAACACGGACAUUUUUUUAAGGCUCUGACUUUGUAAAGAUGCGGUCUUGUGUUGGAGGAAAUUUACUCCAAAGAAUUGUAAGGCUUUAACUUUGUAAAGAUGCGUCUUGUGUUGGAGGAAAUUUACUCCAAAGAAUUGUAACACAGAAACUUUUUUAAGGCUUUGACUUUGUAAAGAUGCGGUCUUCUGUUGGAGGAAAUUUACUCCAAAGAAUUUUAACACAGAAAUUUUUUUAAGGCUUUGACUUUGUAAAGAUGCAUCUUGUGCUGGAUGAAAUUUACUCCAAAGAAUUGUAACACGGACAUUUUUUUAAGGCUCUGACUUUGUAAAGAUGCGGUUUUGUGUUGGAGGAAAUUUACGCCAAAGAAUUUAAACACAUUCAUUUUUAGGGUUUUAAUUUACGGCUUUGACUUUGUAAAGAUGCGUCUUGUGUUGGAGGAAAUUUACUUCAAAGAAUUGUAACACAGAAACUUUUUUAAGGCUUUGACUUUGUAAAGAUGCGGUCUUGUGUUGGAGGAAAUUUACUCCAAAGAAUUUUAACACAGAAAUUUUUUUAAGGCUUUGACUUUGUAAAGAUGCGUCUUGUAUUGGAGGAAAUUUACUCCAAAGAAUUGUAACACGGACAUUUUUUUAAGGCUCUGACUUUGUAAAGAUGCGGUCUUGUGUUGGAGGAAAUUUACUCCAAAGAAUUGAAACACAGUCAUUUUUUAGGAUUUUAAUUUACGGCUUUGACUUUGUAAAGAUGCGUCUUAUGUUGGAGGAAAUUUACUCCAAAGAAUUGUAACUCAGAACUUUUUUUGUAAGGCAUUGUCUUUGUAAAGAUGCGUCUUGUGUUUGAGGAUAUUUACUCCAAGGAAUUGUAACACAGUCAUUUUUUUUUUUAUCAUUAAGUCUUCAAAUUUGUAAGGUUGAUGUCUUGUGUUGGAGGAAAUUUACCCCAAUGAAUUUCAACACAGUUAUUUUCUGUUUAUUUGUAAACUUAAGGCUUUGAGAUCGUAUAUAUGUCGUGUUGUGGGAAAUUUUCCCCAAAGAUAUUGCAACACAGUCACUUUCUGUAUAUCUAUAUCGCGUCGACUUUGUAUUGAUGUCGUCUUGUUCUGGGGGAAAUUUACCCCCAAAGAAUUGCAACAGAUAUGCAUACCUGUAUAGAUUUUAAGGUUGAAAAUUUGUAAAGACGAUGUUUUAUCUUGGGGGUAAAUUUGCCCGAACAGUGUAACAUAUAAUCCAUUGUCGAACUUUACUCAGAUUAAUCGCUUGCAUAAACUGCAUUGUAUUUGGGGGUAAAUUUACUUUGUAAAAAACGAUUAGAUUUUUUUCUUGAAAAUAACAAUUUAUUGUAAAUAGAAUUUAAAUAUAUUCUGUAUAGUUUUUAGGAUAUGUCAAAGCUUCACUUUCGCCAGUAACUGUUUUUGCAUUUGUCUUUGACUGUUUAUUCUCCUAAUACCCCCCUUAAAAAUUCUUAAUUUCAUAUAAUAUAUACAGAGAAGCUUGGUUAGUUUUUGGGGGUACAUUUCUAUUCUGAAGAGUUUCUUGAUUUCUUGUAACGUGUUAUGAUGUGUUAUGCGGAAAAUAAAGCUUAAACUGU